AAGGUUCUUCGGAUCGUAAAAGCUACUGUUGUUAGGGAAGAACAGGUGCCGUUCGAAUAGGGCGGCACCUUGACGGUACCUAACCAGAAAGCCCCGGUUAACUACGUGCCAGCAGCCGGGGAAAUACGUAGGUGGCAAGCGUUGUCCGGAAUUAUUGGGCGUAAAGCGCGCGCAGGUGGUUUCUUAAGUCUGAUGUGAAAGCCCACGGUUCAACCGUGGAGGGUCAUUGGAAACUGGGGAACUUGAGUGCAGAAGAGGAAAGUGGAAUUCCAAGUGUAGCGGUGAAAUGCGUAAAUUUUUGGAGGAACACCAGGGGCGAAGGCGACUUUCUGGUCUGUAACUGACACUGAGGCGCGAAAGCGGGGGGAGCAAACAGGAUUAAAUACCCUGGUAGUCCACGCCGAAAACGAUGAGUGCUAAGUGUUAGAGGGUUUCCGCCCUUUAGUGCUGCAGCUAACGCAUUAAGCACUCCGCCUGGGGAGUACGGUCGCAAGACUGAAACUCAAAGGAAUUGACGGGGGCCCGCACAAGCGGUGGAGCAUGUUGUUUAUUUCGAAGCAACGCGAAGAACCUUACCAGGUCUUGACAUCCUCUGACAAC
rnacentral:rRNA from 2 species